GGGCCUGAAUUGUUGCUCGAACCUGUGUUUUGAUCAAGGUGAGCAAACUUUCAGGUGUGU
rnacentral:precursor_RNA from 1 species